UCAGGUGGCCAUAGAGCGGGGGAAACACCCGUUCCCAUCCCGAACACGGCAGUUAAGCCCCGCUUCGCCGAUGGUACUAGGCUUGUAAGGGCCUGGGAGAGUAGGUUGCCGCCUGGG
rnacentral:rRNA from 1 species